AAAGAUUAAGCCAUGCAUGUCUAAGUACAAGCCUCAAAAUGGUGAAACCGCGAAUGGGUCAUUAAAUCAGUUAUGGUUCCUUAGAUCGUACAAUCCUACUUGGAUAACUGUGGUAAUUCUAGAGCUAAUACAUGCAACGAAGCUCCGACCUUCGGGGAAGAGCGCUUUUAUUAGAUCAAGACCAAUCGCGUCGCAAGGCGCGUCAUUUUGGUGACUCUGGAUAACUUUGAGCUGAUCGCAUGGCCUCGAGCCGGCGACGUAUCUUUCAAAUGUCUGCCCUAUCAACUGUCGAUGGUACGUGAUAUGCCUACCAUGGUUG
rnacentral:rRNA from 1 species